GCUGCAAACGCCGAAGAGAAGGCUUCUGCAACCGCUCCCGCUUAUCCUUCCAGUAAUUAUAAAUAGACUGGAAUACUCCAUAUUUAAUGGAUAAAGAUUGCAAGGCCUCAACAGCAGCAUCAAAACUUAGAAGCACAGGAACUGGCGAUCCAAGCGUAUUUGCUAUAACUCCUGCUCUUUCUCGGGCCUUGUGAUCUAAAACUUCUAGUUUAUACAAAAUUGCCUCCAACUUUUCAGCUGCAAGAACUUUUCUUUCUCUGUUGAACUCUUGAAGCCAAUCUUCAUCCUCAUUGUCAAGAUCAUACUCAACAAAUUCUCCAAUCUCAG
rnacentral:misc_RNA from 1 species